GAUGAACGCUGGCGGCGUGCCUAAUACAUGCAAGUCGAGCGAACAGACGAGGAGCUUGCUCCUCUGACGUUAGCGGCGGACGGGUGAGUAACACGUGGAUAACCUACCUAUAAGACUGGGAUAACUUCGGGAAACCGGAGCUAAUACCGGAUAAUAUAUUGAACCGCAUGGUUCAAUAGUGAAAGACGGUUUUGCUGUCACUUAUAGAUGGAUCCGCGCCGCAUUAGCUAGUUGGUAAGGUAACGGCUUACCAAGGCAACGAUGCGUAGCCGACCUGAGAGGGGGAUCGGCCAAACUGGAACUGAGACACGGUCCAGACUCCUACGGGAGGCAGCAGUAGGGAAUCUUCCGGAAUGGGCGAAAGCCUGACGGAGCAACGCCGCGGGGGGGAUGAAGGUCUUCGGAUCGUAAAACUCUGUUAUUAGGGAAGAACAAAUGUGUAAGUAACUAUGCACGUCUUGACGGUACCUAAACAGAAAGGCACGGCUAACUACGUG
rnacentral:rRNA from 1 species